rnacentral:rRNA from 1 species
GACGAACGCUGGCGGCGUGCUUAACACAUGCAAGUCGAACGGAAAGGCCCUGCUUUUGUGGGGUUCUCGAGUGGCGAACGGGUGAGUAACACAUGAGUAACCUGCCCUUUGCUUUAGGAUAACUUCAGGAAACUGGGGCUAAUACCGGAGAGGAGCUCCUGCUGCAUGGGGGUGUUUGGAAAGUUUCGGCGGUUGGGGAUGGACUCGCGGCUUAUCAGCUUGUUGGUUGGGUAGCUGCUUACCAGGGCUUUGACGGGUAGCCGGCCUGGGAGGGUGAACGGCCACAUUGGGACUGAGGUACGGACCAGACUCCUACGGGAGGCAGCAGUGGAGAAUAUUGCACAAUGGGCGGAAGUCUGAUGAAGCAACGCCGCGUGCGGGAUGACGGCCUUCGGGUUGUAAACCGCUUUAGCCUGUGACGAAGCGGGAGUGACGGUAAUGGGUAAAGAAGCACCGGCUAACUACGUG